AGCAAACACCUUUGAAGGCCUAAAGAUUAAAGACUAAUCUCCAAUGCGGACACCUCAGCUGCUGAAAGCCAUCCUUUUCUUCUGAACUUCAGUAGGUAGCUUAACCUCAGUUGCCUGUCCGAUAACUUGAAGAAAUUUGAUUACACACCAAGUCAUGUCCAGUUGCCACCAUUCCAGACCAUGUCUGGCUGAGUAUUCGAAAGCAUGGUGGUUAUUAUGCCAACCCUCUCCAAAUGCAAGCAAUGCCACCCACCUGAAAAAGUUUGCAGAUAUUUUUAUUAGUAACUUCUUAAGAAAUAGACUUGACAAGAACUAGAUGUAUAUUAGUACAAGGGAAGUCAAUUGUACCAAUUGUUCCUGGACAAAUCACCAGAAUUCCAUGCUUGCUUCCCCCACACAUGGCAAGCUGAAUUUACCAGCCAAGUGAUGUGGUAAACCCAUACAAUCCUCACACCCUGCAAUGCUCGCACGUUAAUGCCUAGGCCUCCUUAUGGUUAGUAUGCUUAUUUGUCUUCGCUAAGUAAAAGUUUCACUUUUGAAGAUUAAAAUUAUACAGAAACUACUCCAGUCCAAAGUUGUUUGAUCUUCAUUCUAGCAAAUCGAAUGUAACACAAAUGGGCUCCCCAAAAGCAAAAUUUAUCUACUUGAGGAAUCAGAAAUGAUAACCCCAGCCCCACGUUUGUUACAGGAUUACCUUUUUCUAACAAACUGUCCAAACUGUUAUCAUAUUAGCAUAGAUAAGCAUGGCCCAGCUUAAAGAUUCAAUUAGAUAAGACUUCCAACUUGUGAUUUAGUCCACAAGCUAGAAUCUAACAUGCUUUCUCAUUUUUCCCUUCACUUUGAGCCAGAGUACAACUUCCUAUGGCUAUGUUCUUUCCUGUCAACUUAAUGACAAAAAUCAUUUGAAAGUAGGGCCACUAGCUUGGUGGUAUGAAGUAAAUUGCAAGUGGAAGGCCCACCAAUCAAACAAAGGGUUUGGGACUCUUUAAGGAUUUUUUCCGUCCUUUUUUCUUUUUCUAAUAACGAAAAAGGAUGGCUGCAACUCAUGCAAGAGACUAUGUUAGCGGAGCUCCAUGAAAACUUUUAGCUUAAGAUAUCUCUAUGCUCUAAAAAGGAAUAUUCAAGGCAAAAUAGACUAAUCCUCAAAACAUGGGAAAAUUGAAAAACUCGCUUACCAUUCCCCAAACAAGGAAGGGAAACCCUCCUAGAGCAUAUAGCAAAACUCCAAGUGCAAUUGGAUGAAGAAUGUAGGUACCCUGAAGAAACUUGUAGAAGGGCUGCUGCCGUAGAUCCCCAACAUUGGUUGGUUCUCCACACUGCAAAUGUUCCAUUGAUACAAAACAUUAAGAAUAUCAAUUCGUUCUGUGCAUAUGUGAGUGCUUGCAUGUUUGAGAAAGAGAGAGAUAGAGUUACCCUUUCAACAACGGUGUCGGUAUCAAAGAGCCAGCUCAUGUGGCUGAACCAAAACCCUUCAAUGGGGCUAUGGGGGUCUCUGUCUGAAUCACAAAAUUGGUGGUGGUACCUAUGUGUGCUUACCCAGUCAAUUGGAUUCCCCUGCAAACACCAAAACCAACAAUCAUAUAACAAUCAAAUGAUACUGCCAUGUCCAUGACAAUAUUCCUCAAAAAUAUUUAAAGCUACCAACCUGAAGUGCCUGAACUCCACAAUAAGCAAAGAAGUACUCAAGCCAUUUUGGAACCUUGAAGCUUCUAUGAGAAAGAUUCCUAUGAAAAGACAAUGUAAUCCCCAGAAGUCCUGUCACCCCAUAGAGUCCCACAGCAAGCCAAAAAGCGGGCCAAUUGAAAUGAAAAGGUGCAAAAAGGCUGAGCAAAUGCAUGCCUACAACAACACCAGCAGUGGCCAUAUCCAAAGUGUUCCAUUUUCUUCCCCAAAACACUUCCUUCUUCCUUUGCACCACCACAUUAGAUAACAAAAUUCUACCCGAGGUUUUCCCUUCUGGGUCGGGCUCGUUUGCUCCAACUGACACCCCAUUAGCCAAUGCCAACACUUUCCUAUUGCUGUAACUCCUAUUCAAACGAGUGAUAAAACUCGCCUGCAGAGGACUCUGCUCUCCGUUUAUUUGAUUGAAUUUUGGGUUUUGAUGGCCAAAGUUUAAGACUUUGCAAGAGCAAGAUCUGGUUUUUAUUGUUGUCGCUCUUUGAGGAGGUGAUACAGCUAAGGAUUUUGGCUUUGACAAUAACGAUGUGAUUAAAGCCAUUGGGUCUCAAUUGGUGGGGUUCUCAAGAAAAAAUUGGGUUUUUGUUGGGUUUUAUAAAAGUUGUGGUUGGUUUGUCCUUUUCUUUUUGAAAGAUGGUUUAUUUAUUGAACCGAUUACUUAGAAUGCCGUAACAACUCUUGAACCAGAGUGGUAGAAGACCUCUAUUAACGUAAGAAGACUAGAUUUGGUGAGAAGGUUGGUUUGUACUUAAAACGAUAAAAUUUGAAGAUUUUGAGUUAUUGUCAAAGCACGAAGUAUAUAAAGCGGGAAAAAGCGUGGAUUAUGGAAAGAGAAAGUGAGCUAACGAAAAGGACAAAGGAGAUAAAAGCUGAUAAGGUGAUCUUGUUUAGAUGGGAAGAUGUGAGGUGAAAUGAGACUCAGAUAUUCUUUUGCUAGGAUUUUGUUUUAGCCCAUUAAUUUUCUAAAUUAUCUACUUGGAUGGAUAGAUAUUUUCUUUUCUCUUUCCUUUUUAUAGGAGUUCUUUCUCUAGUGCCCUUUUGUCUGAUUCUAUCCUUUCUUGCCUGGUUGACAGAUAAGGCUACUCUCUCGCUAGGAAGUUAAAGCAGCAGAAAAACCGGUGAGAGAAAUGGCAGCAACCGCGUCAAUCUUUACGUCUCCGACUCAACCCUUUUCGGCCACGCGGUCGGUGAGAGGUACAAGUGCCAAGCCAUCUAUUUCAAAGCCGAGUAGGGAGUCUCUUUAGACCUGCUUUUUUAACACCCAGUUAGGGAUCUUUGAUUGCUUACAUCGUUUUUCACGUUUUUGGUUGGGGAUUUGAGUUCAGCUCCCUUGAGCUGAAAUUGGGUACAAAUCUUAAUCACCAAUGGUGUGUUCGGCUUAGGUACUCUUGCUUAACUGGAAGCAACUGUACCCUUAGUAAGCAGUCAAGAGGAUCUUUCUUUAAAUGUUAUUAAAUUACAAAUCAUGGUAACUAGAUUAUCUUGCGAGAUAUAUUGAAAACAAUGGAAUUAUCCAAUCAUUUUGCCUUCAAGUUAAGAGUUAUUUCAUGCUUGUCUGUGUCAUGAUUCAUGCUCUGGUUUUUAUGCGUAAGUUGGCAUUUCUACUUUCUUAAAAGCUUGCAAUUUUAUUAACCGGUACAGUUGGUUUGCUAGGUCUCUGGUUUUGAGGAAGUGUAGAAUGGCAAAUAGGAAUCCUUGGGCUAUGACCUGUUUUAGAUUUGAUUAUUUAGGGCGCAACUUUCCCUUAAAUUUCAAUCCUGUAUUGCGCUGCAUAAUUUUGUACACUUCUAAGCUGAAAUUAUAUCAUUUGAGUCAGAAAAUCCAAAUAUCAUUGAGCAAGUCAUUUACUUCGUAGUCUCCAUCAAAUGAACUAGAGCUUCUAAAAUGAGUUGGUAACCUAGGGCUUUGGAGUUGGCAGUUGCUUCAUUCUGUUUAUAUCUGCAAUAAAUUCUAUGUGCCAGAACAAACUAAUGUUGUUGUGACUCAAAAUGCCAAGUAAAAUAGCUAGACCUUAUGCCUCAAAUUUCUGAUGCCAAACAGUUUUGCAAUUUUUUCAGAUGCAGCUAGUAGCUUUAUGGGUGCAUCAUUGCCAAGGGAUUUUGCAAAGACGAAAAGAUUAGUCAAGAUAAGUGUAAAAGUGACUGCAGCUGCUACUGUUACAAAAAAUCCUAUGGAACAAAUUAAAGAGUAUGGACUUUAGUUUCCUUCUAUUUUUGCUGUUUCAUUAAGCUUAAAGUGUUCUGGCUUUGGAGUUUUCUUUGAAAAGAAUUGUUGAGUUGGGUUUUUGCAUUUUAAGGAAUAAUAUCUUCUUUGGGAGUGGAAAAUUGGAGGAAUUCACCCUCUACAUGUUUCUACGUGCAGCAUGCUGAAGUUAUAUGUAUCUCAAGUUCUAAACUGCAAUGUGGUGUUGUUUGAAAUUUUUUAAUCAUUCAAACAGAAUAAUCUGAAGAUUCCUGCCCAACAGGUAUGCACUCCCUUCGUGGGCUAUGUUCGAACUGGGGAGGGCUCCGGUAUAUUGGAAAACCAUGAAUGGUCUUCCUCCAACUUCUGUGAGUGCAGCAUUGCUGGUUUUAUUAUUAUUAUUUUUGCUUUAUGUUGCUUGAAAGCAAGGGCAGGCUGUUGGCUGUUGCAACUCUUUUCUAUAGAGAUUGUCUUUUUUGACAGGGAAAGAAGGUGAAGCUUUUCUACAAUCCAGCUGCAACUAAACUUGUUCCAAAUGAAGAAUAUGGCAUUGCUUUCAAUGGUAAUUUGUGCUCAUGCACUCUUAGCUUUAAUAAUAUAAUUAACCAAAUUGGUUUCUGUAGAUUUCAAUAUAUAAAAGUCUGUACAAAUAAGAAGUACUACCUGUGAAAGGACUCUAGUUAUAUUAUAGACUGUAACACUAUGGCUUCUGUUAUGUCCUAAAAGUAUAAAACAAAUUUAUUCAUAAAAUGAAGUAUUUAAUAGGCUUGUUGUUACCAGUAUUACCAAGGUUAUUUAAUAAAUUAAGCAGUUUUUCUUCAUUUGGUUCUAUAGCAACACUCAGAAAUUUGGUUCUUGACAUUAUUACAGAAAAUAGGAACAUUUUGAUUUUCUUCUGCAUUAUCAGGAGAUUGCCAUCAAAAACGGCAAAAAGAAAAGAAAAUGAAAGUAGGGGGGAUAGAAUAACUUGUAAUCAUUUCAAAUACCUCACAGUUGAAUGACCUUGGUUCAUGGCAUGACUCAAAUGGAUCUUUGAUAAUUUCCACAAUUUGUUUUCCAUAGCUCAGCUACCAUUGGUUAAGUGAGUGGUGCCUGUAGUUCUUUCUUCAGUGGUUUAUCUAGGGGUUCUAGUAUUUGAUUCAUUGUUGGGUCGACUAUAGGUUUUGUAUGCAAGUAGAUAAUUGAAGUCCUUGGCUAACAACUUACUCAACUGUAACUCUGCAGGAGGUUUCAAUCAGCCUAUCAUGUGUGGUGGUGAACCGAGAGCAAUGCUGAGGAAAUCUCGAGGCAAGGCUGAUAGUCCAAUAUACACCAUCCAGAUAUGCGUUCCUAAGCAUGGUUUGUAACAUUCACAAAUUUUUUUCUCUUGGACAGUUCAACUCUCUCCUCAACUCCUAAAAUCUACUUUUACUUUGGCAGCUGUGAACUUGAUCUUCUCAUUCACAAAUGGAGCCAAUUGGGAUGGUCCUUACAGACUACAGUUUCAAGUUCCGAAGUCUUGGCAAAACAGAGCAAUUGAAUUCUUUAACCAGGUAAAUUUAUGCAUACUUGGGCUCUAUGAUUCUUCUGCCUCUAGGUUGAAGAUAAUUGUCCUGUGCUAUGAACACAUAUUACAUUUCGCAUUCGUGAUUGUCAUACCUGUAACUAUUUGGAAGUGAAGCAAAAUUUGGCAAGCCAUGCAUUACGAAAAAAAUGUUUCUUCUAUGUUGCUGGCAGGGGGUAGGGAAGGUGGAUCUGGAAAGUAAAUUUGAAGAAUUCAUUUUUUAUUUUGACCUAAACUAGAGAACUCAUUGCCAAACCAUGCAAUAUUGUGAAUUUCUCUGUUUCAUUUUACACUUGAGUUAAUUUCUAUUUGGAAUGAUUGAAUUGGUUCAGACUAGACAAGUGAGAGAAUAAUGUAACCUGAGACAUGUGAAAUCUUGUAUCACUGUGGCAGGGGCUGGCAGAGGAGUUGAGUCAAGAAGGUGCAUGUGACAGGGCAAUCUUUCCAGACACAAAUAUUGUUGUUGAUAGAUGUGUUAUGAUCGGGAACUUAUCCAAAGAAGGAGUAAAUAAACUUCUUAUCUGUGUUCUUCUUUAUUCUACAUCUUCAUUUCGUUAUUCUGCAUCUAAUUGCUAGCAUCAACUUUAUGUAUGAACUCUACAAUGGAACACUCUUGCAGGGUGAUCGUUGCAGCCUUGAUCUAGUUCCUGGAUGCAUGGAUCCUAACUCCUACUUAUACAACCCUCUCGCUAAUGUAGAUGACGGGUCAUGCCUAAUUGACUCUGAUUCUGAGGACUAGUGUCAGCCAGCCGCAUCUCAUUCACUCAUCUCAUAUCAUUUAAUACAAUCAUUUGGCGGAGGUCUAGAGUUACCAUGGCAGACUAUUUGCCGAAUGACUCCCUGCUCUUAACCGCUAGUCCUAUAGGGCAUUUGCCCUGCCUGUGACUUCUCAAGAAAUUCGAAUAUAAAGCUGCAAAUAUUCAUAUGAAUGAGGUACAGGAUAAUUAUAUUACAAAUUGGCUAUCAUCUCCACCCUGACAUUAGUUGCAGUAUAUCGUAACAGUUGUGACGAUUGAAAUGAGACAAUUCUUGUAUAGAAUGUAGCAUAAGGCAUAUAUCCUUAAAAUAAGUUCACCGCAUGAUUCCACUGAGUUUGACUUGCUUGGUGGCAAGGAUCUUUAGAGCUUUCUUUUUUAUGCUUAAGUAGGGUUUGGAGUUGGGAUUACAAUUAGAUAACAAUAUUUUAUUGACAGUUUGAUAAUAUCAGAAUGUAGAUUAGAAACCCUGCAGAAUCUUACUAAAAUUUGCUUGACAAUAAACCCUUACUAAAACGGCAGCAUCCAUACCCUUUGCCUUAACAUGAAGGCAAGGCCUCAUUUGACUAGUUGCAUAAUUCUUGCCAUCCAGAGAAAUUUAUGCUAACAGAUUGGCAUCCAGGAUAAUUGUAAAAAAAUUAAGUUUGGUCAAUGGUAAUUAUCUCUCCAACUGAAAAUAUCAUAUCUCUGUCAAGUCUACCUAAUGAAAAAGGACAGACAGAGGAAUAGGAUAUCCAUGACAAUGAUUAAAGAUGGAAAGCAAUGUUAAAUGUGCUGAAAGCUCAUCAGCUUGGUUUUAAUUAGGACCAUCAAACGCCCCUGUUCAGCAGCUAGAGGACAUAGAUAAUAAAUCUUUCUGGCAACGCAUAAUGAAAAAGAUGUACAACUAAACUAUUAGCUAUGCAUCAAUAUCAAACUGGUCCAGUUCUACCCAGGUUUCUGGGUCAAGGCCCUGCCAAACUUCAAAGACAAGUGAAAGCGCAAAGGCUUUGCAUGCCAUGAAAACUGGUCCUGUGAUUCUUGUAAUAUGACACGAUUUGACCUGUCAAAAAACCAUUGACAGAAUGGUCGUAGGACGAAAGUUCUUUUAUGAAUUCAACUUCUAGAACAGGACAAAGAAAGUAGUACAAAACACAUCCUAGGCUCUAACUUUAACAUGCUUAUCCUAUGCCAAAAAGAAUAUUGACAAAUGUGAAAUGACUGCAAGCAAGCAAUGUAAGCACCCCAAGAAAACAGAGGCCACAUCGAAAAAAAAAACACAAGGAUUAGAACAUUGACACCCCAUUUUAACUUGUUUUCUAAACUACCAUUCCCCUUUUGCUUUUUCCCCUUUGAGCAGCAAUUUACAUUGUCUUCUUCAAAUUUGACGUUGCCAUUUGAGCAAUUCUUCUUAUCUUAACAAGCCCUCUUUCAUGGUACCAGAAACAAGUGGACAUUUUCUCUUGCUGUCUUCGUACUUGCCAGCAAGGGAAUCGAAUAGGAUUCCAGCACCAACACCAACAGCCAAAUCAAUGGUGUGACAACCCCUGGUACCUAGCAACCUCACAGCUUGAAGCACAUUCAAUGUAUCAAAUAACCAUGCCAAUUCCCAUCUACGCAUUCGCCUCAUUUCGAACGACGCAAUCACAGAUCCAGCAACAUGGCCCGAGAAGAAUAGGAAGAACGAUACAUUCCCUACUGGAAAAUCCACUCCUGAACCUACAAAUUCCUGUCAUUCCAUGAUUGAAUCAGCUGAUCAAACCCAAUAACCAACCAGAGUUAAGAAAAAGGGAUUACGACUACCCUGUUCCUGACAACUAUAGACAAAGACAAAGAUACCAUUGACAGUGUUGUUCAUUAUCUUCAGAAAUCAAUCAAACAUGAUCAUACCAAUUUUAUGGAAAUGAAAUCAAACAAUUCAAAUCAGGGAAGGAUAAGUUUUCAAAUGUUAAGAACCUGGGGUAAUGGGAGCUGCGUGGAGUAACCAAGAAUCCCACGACAAGUAAACAUGAACAAAGCAGAUAUUGUAGCCCUUGGCCGACACUCGAUUAGCCAUGUCCAUAGUAUAUAAACUGUCUGCACCCCUACAAACACCUCACCCCAAAACAUAUGUAUCCAAAGAUCAGAUCAUGCUUUUUGCUGUAAUCAAACUUUCUUAGAGAAAAGUUAGAAACCAUUCAAAGUUAUAUUAUAUAUUGACAUGUUAAAAAAGCUCUUAUGACACUUUUCAAUUUUUACCUAUACCUUAUGUCAAUGCCACACGAAAUAUAAAAUAUAAAUAAUAAUUUAAUUAAUAAUAAUUAAUAAAUUGGUAGUAAUAACAAAUUAUUUAAUUUAAAAUAAAAAUAUAAAAAUUUAACUAAUUGUAAUAAAAAAAUGACUUAUUUAAAUUUUUAAAAUAAUUUAAAGAUUUUUUUAAAUAUUAUAUUUCAAUAUAAUAAUUCUUAAUCUGAUACAUUUUUAAUUAAUUGCAUUUGAAGAAUGCAUAAGGGACUCAUAAAGGUAGAUCUAUAAGAUCUCCAUGUGUGGAAUCAAUUUUUUUUGCCUCUUUGUUUUUACUAAUAAAUACAUUGUGAUGAAAAAAAAAGCAAAAAGAAAUCAAUGAAAAUAUACUUGAAAAAGUUCAUGCAAUUUAUUCUUGAGGAAACAAUACUCAUGUUCUAAGAGCUCCAAAGCUCUCAGGCACCUUCAUUUGACAUGCUAAAACAUCUCUUUAGCCAUAUCUUAAAGUGGGUAAUGAGGUUGUUUCUGAUUAAAAAUAAAAUAGUGAAAGGAAACGGUAAACUUGGAAGUUGGAAAUGGAGUAGUAUAAAUGUUUUGACAUUAAAAAAAGGGGAUUUUUUUUUAUCUUUUAAAAAUAACGUGCUUUUGUAAAUAACCCUCAUGAUAAUUUUAACUGUUUUUAGCAAAAAGAAUAGAUUUUGGGACAAAAAUGCUCUUAAUGAGCCAUCUUCGUUAGCGUGCAUUAUCAAAUAGGUGGAAAAUAGGAAAAAAAAUAAAUUUGCAAAGAUUGGUUGUGCAAAAUACCUUUUUUUUUUUGCGAAGGUUGUGCAAAACAAAAUAAUGUUGCAUGAGAUGGGUUUUCAGAUAUUUGGGACAUGACAUUCAGAUAAUAGAAGAAGAGAGAUAUUAAAUCGAACGAGGAACCAGUCGUCAUGAAUGGAAAGCUUAGCUAAUGAUGUGAAACCAGAAAUCCUUGAUACGGUAGUGAAUUGAAAGGAGAAAGAUGUGAAUCCAAAGCAGGAAAUGGUCUUGCUAUAGCAAGCCAUAUGUGAGACAGUUGUCGCAGGGCAGGGUUUAGAGUUUGUGAAACGUCAUGUUGGGAAUGUGUGACACGGCACCGCUCAGAGUUGGUGAGACGCCAGAGUUAAGAGUUGGUGACACGUCAUGGUGAGAAUCUGUGACACGCCAACGUUCAGAGUUGGUGAGACGCCAUGGAGGGAAUCUGUGACACGCCAGAGUUAAGAGUUGGUGACACGACAUAGAGGGAAUCUGUGACACGCCAACGUUUAGAGUUUGUGAGACGCUAUGGAGGGAAUCUGUGACACGUCAAAGUUAAGAGUUGGUGACACGCUAUGGAGGGAAUCUGUGACAUGCCGGCAUUCAGAGUUCGUGAGAGGCCAUGGAGGGAAUCUGUGACAUGCCAGAGUUUAGAGUUGGUGACACGCCAUGGAGGGAAGCUGUGAUACUCUAGAGUUAAGAGUUGGUGACACACCAUGGUCAUGGUUUAAAGUGUGUGACACGGCAUUGCUUGAAAAGUUGACACGCCAUGGUCAUGGUUUAGAGUGUGUGACACGAUAGUGCUUGAGCAGCUGACACAUCAUGGUUUGAAAUAGAGAGAGGAAAAAAAAGAGGGCAGUUAACGUGGUAAUCGUUUAGACUUUCACUGAAUUAAUUCCCUUUUUUCAGAAUCAAUAAGAAUAUUAAAAGGCCAUUUUUCAUUUUAAACAAUUAUUAUUCAGAAUUCAUAACGUCUAUGUGAUUCAUUUCUCAUUCCAGCCGGUACCAGAGUGUUCGAAAAGGCUAUUUGAAAGCGUAAUGACACCACAGCACCAGCAACAAUGUCAACCAUGAAUGAAGAGGUCAAUGAGUCUCAAAUUAAAACAUUCUUGUGUUCGUUAAUUUUUUGGUUUUUCCUAGGUUUGUUUGAUAUGUUCGGGUUUUUUGUUUUGUUUUGCAAAUGUUUAGACUGUAUUUUCUUACUGGUUUGAUGGUUGUUGGGGUUAAGUCGUAGUGAUUUUAGGGGUUUUGGGUGUUUACCGUGUGAUGCCAUUGUUAUUAUAGUUAGUUAUUGACGCGUCAGCUUUAUAUGAUUUGAUUUGAUAUGCAUGGCAUGUGACAACAUUUUACUUGAUAUGCAUGGCGUGUCACAACAUUUUACUUGUUAUGCAUGGCGUGUGACAGCAUUUUACUUUAUAUGCAUGGCGUGUAACAACAUUUUACUUGUUAUGCAUGGCGUGUGACAGCAUUUUAUUUUAUAUGCAUGGCGUGUGACAGUAUUUUACUUGUUAUGCAUGGCGUGUCACAACGUUUAACUUGUUAUGCAUGAUGUGUCACAACAUUUUACUUGUUAUUCAUGACGUGUCACAACAUUUUACUUGUUAUGCAUGGUGUGUCACAAUAUUUUGCUUGCUAUGCAUGGCGUGUCACAACUUUUAUUCCUUAUUGCACAUGACGGCUUAACUCAUUGAUGCAUGUGUGCCAUGUUUUGUAGAUCCAGCGUAGAUAGUAUGAGGAUCUUGACAGUUUGCUAAUUGUGCCAAGGGAGAAGUGGGCGUUCAACGUUGCAAUUAACACCCACUGUAAGUGGUCGCAACUGCAUUACAUCACAAAGACUCUCCAACAGAAGGAGGAGUACGAUGCAGUUAAGCGUACCUGCUUCGAAAUGCUCCUAGACGUCUAUCCACAUGGGUACUUUUGUGCCGGUCUCCUGCACAGCAUCAUGAUUCAUCGGAUCAGUGAGAGCCAGUCAAUGGACCACGAGCUAUGGUUUGCCAUUGGCAAGAGCAAGGCGCGGCUAUCAAAGCAGGAGUUUUGCCUCAUCACCGGGGUUGAAGUUUGGUCCAAUGCCUGAUGUGUUCAAACGACCGUACGAGGUUGCUGUGGCAAGAAUUCAUGAUAGAUACUGGAACGGGCAGGAAAACAUUAAGCUGCAGGCUUUGCUUGAUACUUUCCGUGGGGGCAACUUCCAACGACCAAGAGACGCGACCAAGAUGGCACUCGUCUUGAUCGCGAAUAACAUUUUAUUUGGUCAAGACUACCGUAGACGGGUAGCACCUUGGUUGCUAUCAUUGGUGGAGGACAUCGACGAUUGGAAUGUCUUCCUAUGGGGGCACUAUUGUUGGAAGCUGACCUUGGACUACCUUUUGAAAGGGUUCGAAGUACCUGACUCAAGUGUGACAAAGGAAACUCGGUUACGCUACAACAUUUACGGAUUCGCAUGGGUGAUACAGGUACUAUCACUUAACAUUUUUCAGUUUCCUUUUGAAAAAAAAAUUUAUGGGUGCACUCGUUUAUGAUUUACGGUCUAAUAAUGAUUACAUUUGACAUGCAGUUUUGGGUAAUGGAGGUAAUUUCGGUCCUCCUAAAAAUAGUUGCCCCCUCUGGUCCAAAGAAAAACGUCUACCCAUGAAUGUGAAGAUGAGAUUGCAAUCAGAAGUCAAAAGACUUCUACAAUGCAAUUCAGAAGUUAGAGUCAUCUGACCAUAUGAGUGAACAGCUGCUAAUUUUUACGUUAUAUUUGUAUAAUAAUUUUCUCUAUUCAAUAAUGAUUUUAUUUGUUUAUUUGCAGUUGUGGGCAUUGGAGACGUUGUAACCCACCGCGGAUGAGGCCUUCCGGGAGUAUUUUGUGGACCUUGAUGUCUCGUUAUCGGAGGGCCACGAGUACGUGCUAAUAGGGCACAUGGAGGAUCGGUCGAAUUUAGGCUUAGGUGCGAGGCAGAAAAGGAGAAGCUUGAAGGAGAAAAGAGCUUCUAGUGGCACGAAGCGGAUGCACACCGCCGCUGCUUUAAUUGAUGAGCUGUCGGGCCCUGAGUUGAUGGACGAAGGGGACGACCAUGGUCAAGGCAGUGAACAGCCGAUAAGGACAAUUGUAAUGAUUUUGUGUUCUCCAAUUCCAUAUGUGAUUAUUGAAUAACAUUUCCGUGUUUGCAGUUGGACCAUGCACCGGCAGCUCCAGAACCACUCAUCGAUCCUCCUCAAACACAUAAAUGCCUCUAUGACAUCGUUUACCUUAGCUCAAACCACCUUUCAAAAUUCAAUUACUUCAGUUGUUUUCCACCAGCCUUCAAUAGUUUAUUUUUCAUAUUAAAAAUCACUUUCUAACAGUCCCCCAUGAUUUGAAAUCUGGUGCACUCCAAGAAGAGUUUUGAGCAUUUCAAAUCUCUCCCUGGAUAAACCUUUGGUUAAUAUAUCAGCUACUGAACCUCUGUAGUGCAAUGCUUGAGUUCAACCUCUUUUUCAUUCACUGCCUCUCCAAGAGCAUGAUAUUUUACCUUGAUAUGCUUGGUUCUCCCAUGAUGAAUUAGAUUUUUGGCUAUUGCAAUGGCAGAAAGAUUAUCAACAAAAAUCAUGGUGCUCUUAUCUUGUUUGAAACCAAGAUCAUUAAGAAUUUUCCUCAACCACUUCAACUAAUUUACAGCUGCUGUAGUUGCUAUGUACUCAGCUUUUGCAGUACACUGUGCAACAAUACUUUGCUUCGUUGAAUUCUAUGAGAAAAUUGCACUAUUGAAAGAAAAACAGAACCCAGUUGUGCUCUUAGAAUCAUCAAGUGACCCUGCCCAGUCACUAUCACUAUAUCCAACUAAAUCCCCACUCUCUUGUUUCAUAAACCUCAGGCCAAAAUCAGCAGUUAUUUUAAUAUACUUGAGGAUUUUUUUGGCAGCUUUAAAAUGUAACUGUGUAGGAGCUUACAUGAAUCUGGACAAUAAACAUGUAGCACACAUCAAAUCUAGCCUAGUUACUGCCAAAUACAACAAUGAACCUAUUAGACUUCUGUAAAUUGAAUCAUCAAUAGCUGCAGAACCAUCUUCUUUACAAAACUUAUUUCCAAAAGCUAGAAGAGUUGCUACAACCUUACAAGCAGACAUGUUGAAUUUCUUUAACAGAUCCUUGGCAUACUUAGUCUGAUGUAACCACACUUCUUCACCAGUUUGUAGAAUCUCCAUGCCUAAGAAAUAAGUCAUUAACCCUAGGUCUAUCAUUACAAACUCUUACAUCAUCUGGCUUUUAAACUCAAUCAAUGAAUCACCAUCAGGUCCAAUGAUUAGUAAGUCAUCCACAUAUACUGCAACAAUUAACAUUGCAGUAUUUUCAAGUAUCUUCACAUACAAAGUCGACUCAUUUGUGCUUUUUAGUAGACCUUGACUGGAAAAAUAAGCAUCUUCCUUGUCAUACUAGGCCCUGAGUACCUGUUUUAAGCCAUACGAUGCCUUAACCAGUUUACAAACCUUGUCCUCUGCCCCUGGUUCAACAUACCCUUCAAGGUGCUCCACAAAGACAUCUUCAGACAGAUUACCAUUUAGAAAAGCAGCAUUUACAUCCAAAUGGUAUAUCUUCCACCUUUCUUUAGUAGCUAAUGCAGCAAGCAUCCUAAUUGUGUCAUAUCUGGCAACCGGUGCAAAAGUUUCCAAAUAAUCAACUCCAUAAGUCUAAGCAUAACCAUUGACCACCAAUUUGGCUUUUAUAUUUGUUUAUUGAGCCAUCAGAAUUUAGCUUAGUUCUAAAUAUCCAUUUGACUCCUAUUAUCUUGUGAUAUGUAGGUCUGUCUACAAGUAACCAGGUAUUAUUUUUCUUUAUCAUGGAGAUCUCAGCAUCCAUAGCCUUUCUCCAGUUUUCAUCCACAACUGCUUCAGAAUAAGUGACAGGAUCAACAGUAGCAAGAUUACAUUUGCUGUAUAUAUCUUCCAAUGUCUUUGACCCUCUUACAGCUUUACUUUCAUCUUCAAUAUCAGAAUCAUCACUUUCCAACAUAAGUUGAUGAUUAUCCAAAUCUUGACUACCAGGAACAGGUUCUACAAUCUUUUUUUUCCAGUUCCAGAAAUGACUUUUAUUAAAGACCACAUCCCUACUUAUAACCACUUUGUUUGCAUCUAAAUCAUAUAGUCUAUAUCCUUUGGAUUUGUCACUAUAGCCAAUAUGCACAGCAAUAAAAGCUUUAACAUCAAAUUUUGAUCUCUUCACAUAAGGAAUUCAAGCAUAGCACAUACAGCUAAAGACUUUAAAAUGAAAGACAGAGGGUUUUUGUUCAUACUGGAUCUCAAAAGGAGUUUUGAACACCAAUUCUUUAAUGAUGUUUCUAUUUUGAAUGUAGUUGGUAGUGUUAACUGCCUCAACCCAAAAUUUCAUAGGGAGAUUACACUGUAAUAAUAAACACCUUGCCAUUUCAGCAACUGUUCUGUUUUUCUUUUCAGCCUUACCAUUCUGCUGUGGACUAUAAGCAACUGUUAAUUGAUGGUGAAUCCCAGCAGUUGACAAAAGCUUCUCAAAUUCAUUUGAAGUGUAUUCAGCUCCAUUAUCGGUCCUUAACACCUUGAUGCUUAGGCUAGCAAAGUUCUCAACUUGUGCUUUGAACUCAGAAAAACUCCUUAUAGCUUCUGAUUUAUUCUUCAAGAAGUAAAUCCAACAGUAAUUAGAGAAAUCAUCAAUAAACAGGAUAUAAUUCCUGCUUCCACUCAGUGAGGGAUUCUUCAUAAGACCACUCAAGUCAGUAUGAACUAGCUCCAACUUCUUUGUAACUCUCCAACUACUUUCCUUAGGAAAAGGUUUCCUGGUCUGCUUCCCAAGCUAAUAGACAUCACACAACUUCUCUGGUUUAACAAUGUUAGGUAGACCUAUUACAAGGUCUUUUGAAGUCAUUGUUGUCAGUGAAUUAUAAUUCACAUGACCAACUUGUUUAUGCCACAAUUCAGAUAAAUCUUUCUCAGCAUAGAGAGCUAGUUGUUUACUUUCAGACAAUUUCAUAGGAUAACAUUUAUUCUUCAUGCUCACAGUUAAUAAUUCAACACCAGCAGGAUCGAAUAUUGUGCAUUGCCUAUCUUUAAACAAUAAGGCAUAACCAUUAUCAUCUAAUUGACCUACACUAAGUAGAUUCUGAUCAGCUUCAGGCACAUAAUGCACAUCAUGAACAAACCUCAUACCAGAUGCAGUUUUUACUCCUAUGGUGCCUACUCCAAGUAUCUUCAUGUAUAGACCAUUACCUAUUUUCACACAAGCCCUAUAACUUUUAUCAAGCUCAGUGAAAAGAUUAACAUUACUUGUCAAGUGGUUUGAGCAGCCACUGUCAAUCAACCGGGUGCUCUUCUCAUCAAUCUCAUCAUUUGCCUUAGCCAUAAACAAUACCUCCUCAAAUUCAUCUUUUUCUUCAACCACUGCAGCCUUGCCUUCAACUUCUUGUUUCUUCGCUUUACACACUUUCUCCACAUGUCCAAGUUGCUGGCAAGAUCGACACCUCACAUGAGGUCUAUACCAACAGUACUUUGGAGUAUGAUUAGUCUUUUUACAGUGAGUACAGGGAGGAAAUUUAUCAUGACUCUUCCCUUGUUUUGCAGAUCCAGACUUAGUGCCUUUAGCACUAUUCUUCUUAGAACUUUCAGAUUUAGCUUUCAAACCCUUAGUUUUAGCUACUAAGGCAUUCUCAACAGAGUCUUCAUCCUUGAGGGCUUUUCUCUACUCAAAAGCCAAUAUAGUAGAGAUCAAUUCCUUUGAAUCCUCAAGUGAUGUCACUUUUGAUUCAAACUUGUCUGACAUACUCACCAAAAUUUUGUUGACCAUCCUUUGAUCAGUGACUUCUUGUCCCAACAUUCUGAGCUGAUUCACCAGCUUCAACAUCUUAUCCAUAUACUCUUGAAUACCCUCAUUUUCCUUCAUCUUCAUCACCUCAAACUGUUUCAAUAAAUUCAUAAUCUGUAUCACCCUUGUUUUGUCAUUGCCUUAAUAUUCUUCUCUGAUGUUAUCUCAUACUUGCUUAGGAUCCUCCAAAUGCAUAAUCUUGACAAAGAUUGACUCUGACACAGUUGACUGCAGGCUAAUCAAAGCCUUGUAUCUCUUUGCAACUUCCCCCGAGUGUUGCUUAAUCUGAGCUAAAGUCGGAUUAGCAUGCCUUUGAAUAGGCAUCUCACUAGACUCCACCACAUCCCAUGGGUCGAAUGCCUUAAGAUAUGAUCUCAUCUUCACUGCCCAGAAAGGAUAAUUAACACCAAUGAAUACAAGAGGUGCAGUUGCACUAAUUCCAACUAUUGCCAUAUAGAAAUUGAAGAUGAUACGAUCAAAAGCAAAAUGUUACAGGUCCCUUGAGAAAAAACACUCUGAUACCAUGUAAAAGAACUCGAUUUUCACUGACAGAGGCUAAAUAAGAAAAUGAAAAAGAAAGAGAAGAAUAGAGUAUCAGCUUAGAAGUAAAAUGAGAAUUUCAUUGAUCAAGAAGAUAUAUAAAAAACAACGGCUACAAGCAAAUAUAUUCACUACUAAGAGCUGUUCCUUAGAUGUAGCCUUGAAAAACCUAACAAAAUCGGAUCGAAGCACAGAAAACGGAAGGAGAGCUUUCUAUUGCUCUAACAGUCAAAAAACAAAGAACAAAGAAAAUAACAACCAAAUGACCAUUCGACUAACAAAAACGACACUCAUGAAGAACGUUUUACAAGAAAAAUUAAAAGACUAGUGAAACGACACUAAUGGUCAUCGUUUCACAAACUUAAAACACUUAAAUGCCUUUACGACAUUGUUUUACGUAGCUCAAACCACCUUUCAAAAUUCAUUUACUUCAGGUGCUUUCCAUAAGCUUUCAGUAGUUGAUUUUUUAGAUUAAAGAUCACUUUCCAACAAAUUCUUCUUUGUUUCCUUUUUGUUGGGUUUCACUCUUUCCAGGGUUUAAGGUUUUGAGUUCUUUUGCUUUCUAGUGGGAAGCUCACACGCCUCACGGUUCACAACUAUUUAAAGCGUGAGAGUUUAGCUUGGGCCCUAAACUCAUACAAUACAACGGUAAAUAUUAAAAAAAAACACUAGCCAAUACGUUCAAAUAUUUUAAACAGCUAAAAUAUUCUACUCCUAAACAUAGAGCGUGGACUUACCCACAACCCUAUUUGGUGGAGCUAAGGUAUAAAAAUAAUUCACAAGUACUUAUAGGCAAAGGAUAAAGUUGUUAGAAUACAGAAAAUAUUAGGAAAUGGUUUGAAGGGGUGUAUUUAUCUCAUUUUCUUAAAAUUUUUAUUCGGAUUCAUUAUUGGUGUGCAAAAGAGUUUUUUAGGAUAAACUUUAAAUACACAAUAAGUUCAGUCAUUGACUACAUUUUGUAUGGACAAAAUUAAUUCGCUGAACAUUUAUUAAUAUAUGACAAGAUUAUUAAAUUUUUUAUAGAAUUUUUCUAUAGCAAAACAAUAUAGAAGCAAUUCAAAAGAAUUUGAAGGAGAAAGUGAUUGUAAGUUGUUUCUUUGUUGAUAUAAUUUCAUAAAAACCAACAAAUUUUAUUUAUAAACAAAUUUAUGUCUCUUUGUUCAAAGUUAAUCAACCCUUUGAACAAAUAUAGUUGUUUGAGCAAAUACAACUAUUCAACCAAAUCAGGGAGACUGCAUUAAUUAUGUCAUUUUUCUAUAAAUGUUACGUUAACUUAUAUUAAUCUAGGGUGAGCAACAUUGUAAGGUUAUCAUGGAUCGUGGUGGACCAAUGGGUUUGGAUCGAUUUUAAGGUGAUCUUGUGACUUAACGAGUGAUCCAUGAUUCAAAUUUUGUAUGGCCGACACUUUUAAGGUGGUCCAUUGUCCUAGACAUUUUAUCUAUUUACCCAAGAUUAAAAGACUAGACUUGUUCCUACGGUUUAGUCCUUCUGAAAUUGAGUCUUGAAUCAAUUCUAAACUAACAAUCAUUUAAAAAAUUAUAUAAAAAAUUAUAUAAAAAAUAAGAUAAAUAUUUAGAAAUUAUAAGACUUGAACUCAUAAUAAGAAAGAUGCUGUUUUAAAAGAUCUUAACCAUAUUAAGUUAAAGAGUUACAUAAUAUUAAAACAUUUAUAUCCAAUACAAACAAUAAAUGAAUAAAUAAAAAAUCUACCAACAGCACCAAACAAAAUGUAAGACUUUUAAAGUAUUGUAACUUAAAAAUAAAUGUGACCUAUAGCGCGGAUAUGUAUGAAUUUUUCUUAUAGUAUUUAUGAAUUUGAUAUACUAUUUGAGUGUAAUAUUAUUAUUUUUUAAAUAAUUAUAAGAAUUCUUAAUCGUAUCAAAUCAUAAGCUUAAUCAUAGAGUUAACCUUACAAAAAUAUGACCUAAUCCACGAUUAAAAUUUUUUAAAACUGAUCUUAUACAAGUGAUGUAUAAUCAUGACUUUAAAAAAAUCCACCUAAACCAUGCAGUAGCGAAGGGAAUGGGCCGUUAGUAGGGUUCCCGUCUCACAAAAGUUUUAAAAUUUCAUAAUUUACCUUUUGAUUUUUUUAGAAUUUUAUCCUUACAAUAAUUUUUUUGUUUAGUGAAAUGCUUUAUAGUAAUUAGUCAACAAUUAAUUUUAAUAGACUUAAAGAUUAAAUAAAAUCUAUUGUAGAAGAAUUAUUCCCUAAGCCACAUUGUUCUAAGAACUUAGGAUCAACUUAGCUCUUGUCUGUCCCUUCAAACACGAAAUUCUUGCUCCGUCACUAAAAAAUGCUCACCUCUAAAUUAUUAGAAGACAAAGACAACCAUUUUCCUAAUUUCAAUAAUAAUGAGUGAAAUGAAAUUGCAACUAGACAUGUAGUGGUACCUUGGGUAUGGGGUGUGAGGUCUACAUGGAGUAAGAGAGAGUGAGUAAAGGCAUGGGGGUGAAAGAGAGGGUGUGCAAAGUGGGUCCAAAUCAAGGCAUGGAGGAAAUAGCCAGGAUUUGAGUCAAAUUAUCAAAGCACAAAAAUAUAGGUGUGAUUUUCUUCACUUUGCAUUAUUGGGCCAUCAAUAUGAGCUUGUUUCAUUAUGAUUUUUGUUGAUUCUCUCAUUUAGUAUCUACUCCUCCUCCUAAGUAAUGACAGGAGUCAAUACUGUAUAAUUAUCAUUUUGGAAGCAAAUUCUUCUGAUAUCAUGGAACUGUUUUAACUUUUAAAUCAAGCAACUUGAAUUGAAUGGCAUCACUUUUUAAGACAGCAGAUAACAUUCCCUUCCCUCCAGGCUCCAACAUUCAGACCAGUUAAUAGCUUAUAUAUAUAUAAUAUUAAUUUGAUGUAGUUGCCAACGUUGACAUAUCUAUAUAUUGAAAUCAAUAUUGUAAAUUAUAAUAUCCUUAACACUGAUGGAGUAAUUAUGCCAACUAUGGAAUUCUUAAAUUCUACUCCAGAAAGUGGCAGGGGGCCUGCAACAAAAUACUCAGGUAGAUGAUGAGGUUUACAAUUAUUUUACAUAUUCUCCAUUGGAGAACGAAGCAUGUCAAUUUGUUUACAGGAACCACGACAUUCUCACUUGGAAAAGCAUGAUUUCUAUUGACGUAAGCAAAACCUUCAUCUCUUUCUUAUGAUGCUUCUGUUUUAUCAGAUUAAUUAUUACUAUAUAUCAGAUGCAUUUGUUUUUUCUUCUCUAUCAGCCUUUCAAACAAAAGAAACCGAUCUUUCAAAAAACCAGAUUCAAACAACCAAAAACCAAGCCACAAUUUUCUAUCAAAAAAAUCAAAGAAAACACCCUAAUCUAGCAACCACAAUUACAAUCCACAAUAAAAGAAAACCAAAAUAAAAUAUAUAUAAAAAAAUACACAUGGAGAAAGGAGAGAAACAGAGUGAGUUUGGGGGAUUUUUUGGUUUGGGUUUCUAGGAAUAGAUUUUUAUUUUUAUUUUUUGGUUUAUUGGUUGAAGCUUAAAGGAAGGAAGAGUUUAAGGAGCUAUUACCGCCGGUUUAGGAGAGAAAGAGAGGCUUGAAACGGCGUCGGAUAGGGAAAGUUAUUGGGCUUGGGUGCGUUGCCAGUAGGAAAGGAAAAAGAGGGUUACCGUCGGUCGGUUACAAAGGCAAAGGAGGGAGGCUUUGAGUGAGGAAAGAGAGCUGGUGAAAGAGCAGAGAAAAAGCGUUCAGAGAGAAAAAGGUAACUGGUAGAAGAGAAAGAGGAAGAAGAAAAAAAAUAAUAAGAAGUCAGCUUGGGAGGGCCUCUAAACGACGCUGUUCUUGAGUACCUGGGAGAGGCUGCUACCAGAGCUCCAGAUUGGAGUGUUUUGGGAAGCACGGUGGGCUAAGGACACGGGCUUGGGUGCUUACAAACAAAUCAAUUAUUUUGGGUUACUGUCUAAGCCCAAACAAGGUAAAAUCCUUUCCUUUAUUAUUUACAUGGAUAUAUUGCCUAGCCCAAUAUUGAGUUGAGGAAUAUUAAAAGUUAAAAAUAAUUAUAAAUAGNNNNNNNNNNNNNNNNNNNNNNNNNNNNNNNNNNNNNNNNNNNNNNNNNNNNNNNNNNNNNNNNNNNNNNNNNNNNNNNNNNNNNNNNNNNNNNNNNNNNNNNNNNNNNNNNNNNNNNNNNNNNNNNNNNNNNNNNNNNNNNNNNNNNNNNNNNNNNNNNNNNNNNNNNNNNNNNNNNNNNNNNNNNNNNNNNNNNNNNNNNNNNNNNNNNNNNNNNNNNNNNNNNNNNNNNNNNNNNNNNNNNNNNNNNNNNNNNNNNNNNNNNNNNNNNNNNNNNNNNNNNNNNNNNNNNNNNNNNNNNNNNNNNNNNNNNNNNNNNNNNNNNNNNNNNNNNNNNUAUAUAUAUAUAUAUAUAUAUAUAAACAACAUGAUACAAAUAUAAAAAUUAUGAAAAAAUGAAAUGACUAUUUGAGAGAUUUUACCUAAAAAGGGCAAAAAGUUGCUUCUUUCUGGUGGAUUUCUUAGGUACGGAGUUCGAGAUGAAUUUUCAUCGAAGUGUCAGGAUAAAUCCGAAUUCUAUACUCCGAUACCCAUUAGUCCGAACAAUUGUUAUUUAAAAUAAUAUACAUAAAAAAUAAUAUAAUAAAAAUAAAUAUAUAAAUAAGGCAAUAAAUCAUGUUAAAUUAUCAAACAUGUUAUUAUUACUAACUAACUAAUUAAUAAACGUGGUCAUGUAGAUAUUAUCAUUUUAUAUUGUCAUAGCAUGCCACGUGUAUUUUGUUAAUGGGACGAGAACUCCCAUGAUGGGAUUUCCUCGAAAGACUUUUAGAGACGAGUUUUUUUCGGGGGAUAUCCAUAGGUGAGGAAAACUUCGAGACUUCACCAAAACGUUAGGAUGGUCUACGAACGAUUUUUCAAUAAAAGACUAUUGCUCUCAUUAUUCAAAAUUGAAUAAAUCAUGACAUCGUUUUACAACUGCAUCAUGUGCAUCCGUGAAGCCGAAUAAAAGGCUCAAUCAGCUAAUGUAAUAAAAAAUUAAUUAAUAAGCAAGGAUUAAGGAAAUAUAUGAAUAAAAUCAAAAGUAGGCUACAAUAUGAUAACUUAAGAUUAAAUAGUACCAUUUGUGGAACGGACGUCACGAAUGUGCUAACCCUUCUCCGUGCGUAACCAUACUCCCUAACUCGUUUUUAAAAAUCGUAGACCAGUUCUCUUUUUUUUGAUGGAUUUAAAAUUAAUUUGGAAUUUAGUCGUUUAAAAUCGAGUUAAUAGGUGACCAAUCGUACCUUUAAAAACCGAUUGGUGACGACUCAUAAUUUGUUUUUUCACCAUGUCUAACAGUCAGAUUUUUGAACCCGCACGUUAUAACAAGCUCAACUUGGAUUAGAGGUUUAAUUUAAGUCAAUAAAGGGUACCAAGCAAGCAAGCCAAGCCAAACCCAGCCUGCUUAAUUUUCUACACAAUGGGCACCCAAAAGCAAACCAUUGCUGGGGCCUGGGCUUGCUGGGCUCAAGUUUUACCACAUGCUUCAACCCUAGCUCAACUUAAAUUGAAGUUGACAUGCCAUAGUGAAAUGUUGUAGUAUCAAAGCUUAAGAGCUGGGAAAAGAGGUAAAAAUAAUCUGUUGAUUAUAUGGACCUUUAGCUCAGGUCAAGACGAUUGAUUUCUGUAUAGAUUAUAUGUAAUUACAUCAGAAGUCGGGCCAUAUAACUAAAGAAAUGUAGUUCACAGCUAGAGUCCUGAUGGUGCGGCAGUACCAGAAGCAACAAAUGUAGUCCAUUCACCUAAAUAAGUAUCUCACCAUGGUUAAGCAAACACCUUUGAAGUCCUAAAGAUUAAAGACUAGUCUCCAAUGCGGACACCUCAGCUGCUGAAAGCCAUCCUUUUCUUCUGAACUUCAGUAGGUAGCUUAACCUCAGUUGCCAGUCCGAUAACUUGAAGAAAUUUGAUUACACACCAAGCCAUGUCCAGUUGCCACCAUUCCAGACCAUGUCUGGCUGAGUAUUUGAAAGCAUGGUGGUUAUUAUGCCAACCCUCUCCAAAUGAAAGCAAUGCCAUCCACCUGAAAAAGUUUGCAGAUAUUUUUAUCAGUAACUUCUUAAGAAAUAAACUUGACAAGAACUAGAUGUAUAUUAGUACAAGGGAAGUCAAU
rnacentral:lncRNA from 1 species